UGGCCUACGGGACGCAGCAGUGGGGAAUAUUGCACAAUGGGGGAAACCCUGAUGCAGCGACGCCGCGUGAGCGAAGAAGUAUUUCGGUAUGUAAAGCUCUAUCAGCAGGGAAGAAAAUGACGGUACCUGACUAAGAAGCCCCGGCUAAAUACGUGCCAGCAGCCGCGGUAAUACGUAUGGGGCAAGCGUUAUCCGGAUUUAUUGGGUUUAAAGGGUGCGUAGGCGGACAGUCAAGUCAGCGGUAAAAAUGCGGUGCUCAACGCCGUACAGCCGUUGAAACUGGCAGUCUGGAGUGGGCGAGAAGU
rnacentral:rRNA from 1 species